GAUGAACGCUGGCGGCGUGCCUAAUACAUGCAAGUAGAACGCUGAAGGAGGAGCUUGCUCUUCUGGAUGAGUUGCGAACGGGUGAGUAACGCGUAGGUAACCUGCCUGGUAGCGGGGGAUAACUAUUGGAAACGAUAGCUAAUACCGCAUGACAACAGUUAUUGCAUGAUAACUGUUUAAAAGGGGCAACUGCUCCACUACCAGAUGGACCUGCGUUGUAUUAGCUAGUUGGUGAGGUAACGGCUCACCAAGGCGACGAUACAUAGCCGACCUGAGAGGGGGAUCGGCCACACUGGGACUGAGACACGGCCCAGACUCCUACGGGAGGCAGCAGGAGGGGAUCUUCGGCAAUGGACGGAAGUCUGACCGAGGAACGCCGCGGGAGGGAAGAAGGGUCUCGGAUCGUAAAGCUCUGUUGUAAGGGAAGAACGAGUGUGAGAGUGGAAAGUUCACACUGUGACGGUAUCUUACCAGAAAGGGACGGCUAACUACGUG
rnacentral:rRNA from 1 species